UACAGAGGGGGCAAGCGUUGUUCGGAAUUACUGGGCGUAAAGGGCGCGUAGGCGGCCUGCUAAGUCGAACGUGAAAUCCCCGGGCUCAACCCGGGAACUGCGUCCGAUACUGGAAGGCUUGAAUCCGGGAGAGGGAUGCGGAAUUCCAGGUGUAGCGGUGAAAUGCGUAGAUAUCUGGAGGAACACCGGUGGCGAAGGCGGCAUCCUGGACCGGCAUUGACGCUGAGGCGCGAAAGCCGGGGGAGCAAACGGG
rnacentral:rRNA from 1 species